rnacentral:rRNA from 1 species
GUGGGCAAUCUGCCCUUCACUCUGGGACAAGCCCUGGAAACGGGGUCUAAUACCGGAUACGAGCCUCCAAGGCAUCUUGGAGGUUGGAAAGCUCCGGCGGUGAAGGAUGAGCCCGCGGCCUAUCAGCUUGUUGGUGAGGUAAUGGCUCACCAAGGCGACGACGGGUAGCCGGCCUGAGAGGGCGACCGGCCACACUGGGACUGAGACACGGCCCAGACUCCUACGGGAGGCAGCAGUGGGGAAUAUUGCACAAUGGGCGAAAGCCUGAUGCAGCGACGCCGCGUGAGGGAUGACGGCCUUCGGGUUGUAAACCUCUUUCAGCAGGGAAGAAGCGCAAGUGACGGUACCUGCAGAAGAAGCGCCGGCUAACUACGUGCCAGCAGCCGCGGUAAUACGUAGGGCGCAAGCGUUGUCCGGAAUUAUUGGGCGUAAAGAGCUCGUAGGCGGCUUGUCACGUCGAUUGUGAAAGCCCGAGGCUUAACCUCGGGUCUGCAGUCGAUACGGGCUAGCUAGAGUGUGGUAGGGGAGAUCGGAAUUCCUGGUGUAGCGGUGAAAUGCGCAGAUAUCAGGAGGAACACCGGUGGCGAAGGCGGAUCUCUGGGCCAUUACUGACGCUGAGGAGCGAAAGCGUGGGGAGCGAACAGGAUUAGAUACCCUGGUAGUCCACGCCGUAAACGGUGGGAACUAGGUGUUGGCGACAUUCCACGUCGUCGGUGCCGCAGCUAACGCAUUAAGUUCCCCGCCUGGGGAGUACG